rnacentral:rRNA from 1 species
GAUGAACGCUGGCGGCGUGCCUAAUACAUGCAAGUCGAGCGAACAGAUGAGGAGCUUGCUCCUCUGACGUUAGCGGCGGACGGGUGAGUAACACGUGGAUAACCUACCUAUAAGACUGGGAUAACUUCGGGAAACCGGAGCUAAUACCGGAUAAUAUAUUGAACCGCAUGGUUCAAUAGUGAAAGACGGUUUUGCUGUCACUUAUAGAUGGAUCCGCGCCGCAUUAGCUAGUUGGUAAGGUAACGGCUUACCAAGGCAACGAUGCGUAGCCGACCUGAGAGGGUGAUCGGCCACACUGGAACGGAGACACGGUCCAGACUCCUACGGGAGGCAGCAGUAGGGAAUCUUCCGCAAAGGGCGAAAGCCUGACGGAGCAACGCCGCGUGAGUGAUGAAGGUCUUCGGAUCGUAAAACUCUGUUAUUAGGGAAGAACAAAUGUGUAAGUAACUAUGCACGUCUUGACGGUACCUAAUCAGAAAGCCACGGCUAACUACGUG